UACGUAGGGUGCGAGCGUUAAUCGGAAUUACUGGGCGUAAAGCGUGCGCAGGCGGUUUUGUAAGACAGUUGUGAAAUCCCCGGGCUCAACCUGGGAACUGCAUCUGUGACUGCAUAGCUAGAGUACGGUAGAGGGGGAUGGAAUUCCGCGUGUAGCAGUGAAAUGCGUAGAUAUGCGGAGGAACACCGAUGGCGAAGGCAAUCCCCUGGGCCUGUACUGACGCUCAUGCACGAAAGCGUGGGGAGCAAACAGG
rnacentral:rRNA from 1 species